CCCUUAGACGUUCUGGGCCGCACGCGCGCUACACUGACCAGUGCAACAAGCAUCCGUCCUUGGCCGACAGGCCCGGGCAAUCUUUGAACGCUGGUCGUGAUGGGGAUAGACUUUUGCAAUUUUUGGUCUUCAACGAGGAAUUCCUAGUAAACGCAAGUCAUCAACUUGCAUUGAUUACGUCCCUGCCUUUUGUACACACCGCCCGUCGCACCUACCGAUUGAAUGGUCCGGUGAAGCCUCCGGAUUGGCGCGCACCUCGGUGCCGCCGAGAAGUUGGCUAAACCUUACCAUUUAGAGGAAGGUGGAGUCGUAACA
rnacentral:rRNA from 1 species